GGGGUUUCGCUUUCGUAGUGACCUGCGGAGGAUCAUUA
rnacentral:rRNA from 1 species